UUAUGUGUGUGUGUGUGUGUGUGUAUGGACUCAGCAGUCCAUACAUACACACACACACACAGAUUGCUGAGUCCAUACAUACACAUAGACUG